UGAUGAUAUUGCUUCUGGAACUGGUUUACCACAAUGUCACGAUGGUGCCAACAGUGGCACAUGGAUUAGAAUGGGAUGGGAGAAUGAAACAUGCAGGCAGCAGACCACUAAAUCAACCCCUGGAUCUGCUUGUAAACCCCUGGGAAGAAUAAACUUCUGUAAGGGAGCAAAUGAUGAAACAGCAAUCCAAAGAAAUGUUUCAGCUAUGAAACAACCAUGUGAAGUCCUAAUUGUGGCCUGCAGGGGGCGCUGUUGGGUCACUGGCGGUCAC